UAGAGUUUGAUCCUGGCUCAGGAUGAACGCUAACUACGGGCUUAACACAUGCAAGUCGAACGGAUUCUGGAUUCGUCUGGAAUUAGUGGCAAACGGGUGAGUAACACGUAUCCAACCACCCUGCGACUCGGGGAUAGCCUCUUGAAAGGGAGAUUAAUAUCCGAUGUACUGUUUUUGGUGCAUGCCAUUUUCAGUAAAGUUUUUUACGGUCGCUGACGGGGAUGCGUUCCAUUAGAUAGUCGGUGUGGUAACGGCUCACCGAGUCUAUGAUGGAUAGGGGUUCUGAGAGGAAGGUCCCCCACAUUGGAACUGCGACACGGUCCAAACUCCUACGGGAGGCAGCAGUGAGGAAUAUUGGUCAAUGGGCGAAAGCCUGAACCAGCUAUGUAGCGUGAAGGAUGACUGCCCUAUGGGUUGUAAACUUCUUUUGUUCGGGAAUAACAGACUUCACUUGUGGAGUUUUGCAUGUACCGUUCGAAUAAGGAUCGGCUAACUCCGUGCCAGCAGCCGCGGUAAUACGGAGGAUCCUAGCGUUAUUCGGAUUUAUUGGGUUUAAAGGGAGCGUAGGCGGGGGGUCAAGUCAGCUGUGAAAUACGUACGCUUAACGUUCGUCUUGCAGUUGAAACUGGUUUUCUUGAGUGCGUAUGAGGCAGGCGGAAUUCGUGGUGUAGCGGUGAAAUGCUUAGAUAUCACGAGGAACUCCUAUUGCGAAGGCAGCUUGCUGGUCCGCUACUGACGCUGAUGCUCGAAGGUGCGGGUAUCGAACAGGAUUAGAUACCCUGGUAGUCCGCACAGUAAACUAU
rnacentral:rRNA from 1 species